rnacentral:misc_RNA from 1 species
GGAAGUAAAAGCGUAACAAGGUCUCCGUUGGUGAACCAGCGGAGGGAUCAUUACCGAAGUUACCCUUCAAAACCCAUUGUGAACCAUACCUCUUGCCGCGUUGUCUCGGCGGGAGGCGCUGGGGCCUCGGUUCCGCGUCCCCGCCGGCAGCGCCAAACUCUAAACUGCAAAGCGUACUGCAUGUUCUGGUUUACAAAAAAAACAAGUUAAAACUUUCAACAACGGAUCUCUUGGUUCUG